rnacentral:rRNA from 1 species
GACGAACGCUGGCGGCGCGCUUAACACAUGCAAGUCGAGCGAAGCGGCGGACGGGGGAGUAACACGUGAGUAACCUGCCUUAGACAUUGGGAUAGCCUCGGGAAACCGGGAUUAAUACCAAAUGGUCUAAGAUGGACUCGCGUCCCAUUACAAAGUUGGUGAGGUAACGGCCCACCAAGGCGACGAUGGGUAGCCGGGCUGUGAGGGUGAACGGCGACAUUUGAACUGGGCAACGGUCCAAACUCUACGGGAGGGAGCAGUGGGGAAUAUUGCACAAUGGGGGAAACCCUGAUGCAGCGACGCCGCUUGAACGAAGAAGGUAUGCGUAUCGUAAAGUUCUGUCCUAUGGGAAGCAGUACCAUAGAAGAAAGCUCCGGCUAAAUACGUGCCAGCAGCCGCGGUAAUAC